GAUGAACGCUGGCGGCGUGCCUAAUACAUGCAAGUCGAGCGGAAAGGCCCUUCGGGGUACUCGAGCGGCGGACGGCUGAGUAACGUGUAGGAACGUACCCCAAAGUGAGGGAUAACUGCUCGAAAGAGUAGCUAAUACCGCAUGUGCUCUUCGGAGUAAAGCUUCGGCGCUUUGGGAACGGCCUGCGUCCUAUUAGCUAGUUGGUGAGGUAAUUGCUCACCAAGGCGACGAUAGGUAGCUGGUCUGAGAGGAUGAUCAGCCAGACUGGGACUGAGACACGGCCCAGACUCCUACGGGAGGCAGCAGUAGGGAAUGUUCCACAAUGGGCGAAAGCCUGAUGGAGCAGCGCCGCGUGCAGGAUGAAUGCCUUCGGGUUGUAAACUGCUUUUAUAGGUGAAGAAUAUGACGGCAACCUAUGAAUAAGGAUCGGCUAACUCCGUGCCAGCAGCCGCCGUAA
rnacentral:rRNA from 1 species